rfam:Hordeum vulgare subsp. vulgare, WGS project CAJW01000000 data, contig: morex_contig_60758
AUACUACUCCCUCCGUCCGGAAAUACCUGUCCUAAAAAUGAAUGUAUAUAGAAUUAUUUUAGUUAUAGAUACAUCUAUUAUAUCCAUUUUUAGGACAAGUAUUUCCGAACGGAGGGAGUACUUA